AUUGAACGCUGGCGGCAUGCCUUACACAUGCAAGUCGAACGGCAGCACGGGAGCAAUCCUGGUGGCGAGUGGCGAACGGGUGAGUAAAGUAUCGGAACGUGCCCAGUCGUGGGGGAUAACGUAGCGAAAGUUACGCUAAUACCGCACACGAUCUACGGAUGAAAGCGGGGGAUCGCAAGACCUCGCGCGAUUGGAGCGGCCGAUAUCAGAUUAGGUAGUUGGUGGGGUAAAGGCUCACCAAGCCGACGAUCUGUAGCUGGUCUGAGAGGACGACCAGCCACACUGGGACUGAGACACGGCCCAGACUCCUACGGGAGGCAGCAGUGGGGAAUUUUGGACAAUGGGCGAAAGCCUGAUCCAGCCAUGCCGCGUGCAGGAUGAAGGCCUUCGGGUUGUAAACUGCUUUUGUACGGAACGAAAAGGUUUGGCCUAAUAAGCUGAGCUCAUGACGGUACCGUAAGAAUAAGCACCGGCUAACUACGUGCCAGCCGCCGCGGUAA
rnacentral:rRNA from 1 species